rnacentral:lncRNA from 1 species
CCUGCCUGGCCCCCUGCCGCUGCAGCAACACAUGUGAACUGACACGGUAUCUGAGCACACCCCGGGAAACAGACCGCAGCCCUCCCUGGCGCCCAGUGAUUACAGGCCAAGGCUGAAAGCAGCAACAAGAACCAAGAAACAAAGCCUUCUGUGAAACCAGAAACCACACAAGGUCACAAAAACAGCAAGAACUUGUAAAUCCUGAAAACCCUUCAGUGAGGAAUUUUCCUAAGCACCUGUGUCCAGCUCUGAAACAACAGUGGCUUGACACAUACCUGAGACGAUGAGAGCACAAAUCCAGCCGCCCCUCCGGAAAGACCAUUCAAGGUCACGGGCGUUUUAAGAUGUGGUUCUCUUUUGGGCUUAUCUGUGGAAAAACAUCCAAGGCACAGACCAAACAGCUGCUUUGAAAACACACUCAAGACAGACCACAUCCUUGCACACCGCUGUGGCCUCAGGCUGGCUUCCCCCCGGAUCACAAGAUGUCGUCAGACACCUACUGGAGCUAUGUGGAUCCUUAUUCACACUCAGAGAGAGCACUGCUUCCCAGAGCCACCAAACCACAGUUCUGAGCAGCGUUCUAAGGGACCAACCUGAACUGUGGCCAGGAAAUGCCUCCCUGCUGAUUACAGUGUGGGGUACAGUCCAUCUUUUGGGGGAGGGGAGGACGCUCGAAUGCUAGUUGGGGUUAAUUUCACUCAAAAUGUGUGGCUGCUAUGCAGUGCAGAUAAGAGUGGUCCCCAGAACAAAAUCUGGGCGCUGUGAGCAAAAGGAAAUGGUUGCUGAUCCAUGUCCCCCAAGGCACCCCAUGGCUCAAGUAAUGCUCCGUGUUAAUCCUUGUGCUGAAACUGCACAUACUUCUUGAGAACGCCUUGUCUGGAGCGGUAAGCAAUCUAGCAUUUUAACUUCCCCUCAAGGAACUGAUUUGUCC